UACGGAGGGGGCUAGCGUUGUUCGGAAUUACUGGGCGUAAAGCGCGCGUAGGCGGACCUGCAAGUCGGGGGUGAAAGCCCGAGGCUCAACCUCGGAACUGCCUUCGAUACUGCGGUCUCGAGUCCGGAGAGGUGAGUGGAAUUCCUAGUGUAGAGGUGAAAUUCGUAGAUAUUAGGAAGAACACCAGUGGCGAAGGCGGC
rnacentral:rRNA from 1 species